rnacentral:rRNA from 1 species
UACGGAGGAUCCAAGCGUUAUCCGGAUUUAUUGGGUUUAAAGGGUGCGUAGGCGGAUUAUUAAGUCAGAGGUGAAAUUUUGCGGCUCAACCGUAAGCUUGCCUUUGAUACUGAUAAUCUUGAAUUAACUUGAGGUAGGCGGAAUGUGACAAGUAGCGGUGAAAUGCAUAGAUAUGUCACAGAACACCAAUUGCGAAGGCAGCUUACUAAGGUUAUAUUGACGCUGAGGCACGAAAGCGUGGGGAUCAAACAGGAUUAGAUACCCUGGUAGUCCACGCCCUAAACGAUGAAUACUCGAUGUUAGCGAUAUACAGUUAGCGUCAAAGCGAAAGCGUUAAGUAUUCCACCUGGGGAGUACGCCCGCAAGGGUG